rnacentral:miRNA from 1 species
AGAGUGUUGCUCUCAUCUCU